GAUGAACGCUGGCGGCGUGCCUAAUACAUGCAAGUCGAGCGAACAGACGAGGAGCUUGCUCCUCUGACGUUAGCGGCGGACGGGUGAGUAACACGUGGAUAACCUACCUAUAAGACUGGGAUAACUUCGGGAAACCGGCGCUAAUACCGGAUAAUAUAUUGAACCGCAUGGUUCAAUAGUGAAAGACGGUUUUGCUGUCACUUAUAGAUGGAUCCGCGCCGCAUUAGCUAGUUGGUAAGGUAACGGCUUACCAAGGCAACGAUGCGUAGCCGACCUGAGAGGGUGAUCGGCCACACGGGAACUGAGACACGGUCCAGACUCCUACGGGAGGCAGCAGUAGGGAAUCUUCCGCAAUGGGCGAAAGCCUGACGGAGCAACGCCGCGUGAGUGAUGAAGGUCUUCGGAUCGUAAAACUCUGUCAUUAGGGAAGAACAAAUGUGUAAGUAACUAUGCACGUCUUGACGGUACCUAAUCAGAAAGCCACGGCUAACUACGUG
rnacentral:rRNA from 1 species